AGCCACAGCUCAAUUCGCAGAAUGGCAUCGAGGAACAAGUACACCGGAGACUUGCCUCACACGGUUGCUAUCCACUGAGGGUGCAAAGAUGAAUAAAAUUGUAUCUAACCUCAAAUAGCUCUCGGUCAAGUGGAGAAGCCAGACAAGGAAACAGUCAUACCAUAAUGUGAUGUAAAUAUUGAAGCUGAGGAAUGGACGAGGCAAUGUGGGAGCUCAGAGGAACAUGUAACUAACUCUACCUGAGGAAAUCAGGAAGACUUUGGAAGAAGCAAAGCUGGAACAGAUUCUUUAGGUGCUGGGAAUAUAACUGCGAGCAAGAUGGGUAGCUGUCUUUGCCUCAGGUAGCAUGUGAUGUAGUCAGAAAGGGAGACGAUGAACAGAUAGUCCCUUUGGAAGUCAGAUUUGAUCAGAUGACAUGGGUGUGCAUAAAGAGGAGGACCUGCUUGAUAUCUCUGACUACUUUGACUUCAAGGCAUUGAACUGAGGUCCCAGGCAACCUGUAGCACGAGUGCACCUUGGGAGCAGCCACUAACCUGUCCUGCAUGAACUAUAGGUUUCUCCAGAGAUCUUCCAUGGAUUCACCAAGAGCUUUAAAAUAGGAAGGCAGUGCCCUGACUCUAACGAACAAAGUGUGUGCAUGUCCUGCACAUUGUCAUCAAGUAUGGCUGGAAGGACUACGUCAUAGCUACCUUCCCCAGAGUGGGCAUGAGGCCAUUCCAGAAAUAUAUGUAUAAAAUUAUCUUGUGCUCAAAGACAAGAUCCUUAUACCCUUCCUCCAGGAUGACAUCAGUAUGCUCACAAUGACUAAUGAACCUCAAGGAGGUGGGGCCUGGAUCAGGUUGUUUGUUCGUGGAGGGGUGUGAUUGGGGUUAAUGGGAACAUUCUCAUUUCUUCCAACCAGCUGAAUCAUUCUCCCUUGUUAUUUUUUCCUUCCUCCUUAUUUAGUGAAACCCAAACCAUUUUUUUUACUCUCUACCUUAUUUUCCCCCAAACAGAGAGAGGGCACUAUGAACAUUUCCACCAUUAACAGCAAGAUAAUACCUUAUCCUAGCAAUGCGUCAUCCAAUGGGAUACCUUGGAGAGACUCGGCUGGAAGGGGAUUCCCUUCCUAGGGUGCCCGCUUCAGAGGGAGGCCUAUUUGUCAUGUUUAAAGUUUGCUUUUUAGACAUAUUAACACUAUAGACAUGAAGGAUUCUUAAGGGAAUUUACUCUAAUCUUAGUUUGUGCCCUGAGGUACCCCAGGAUCCAACACAACAGUGUUGCCCACCACACAUACUUCAAUCCAGUCCUUGUACUGUUCUGGGUUCAAUGGUAUUGGAGACUUUCUUUAAAACGCAAAAAGCCACAGUUUUCAGAAAAAUGUCCUGUCCCUGACCCACUUCAGAGCUGCACUGUCUUGGUGUGAAGAUGGAGCAGUUCAGAAAAGGUUGUGGGGAGAGCCAGUCGGGAGUCAAUAGUAUGGAAUCUAAUUCACAUUCCAGUUGUAGAAAUUGACCUGAGUGCUAUAUGAAAAUAAAUACAAACUGCUUCUCCAAAUCUUCUUUUGCCUCCUGGCUGUUCUUUCCUCUCAUUGGCCUCUUCCUGUUUACAACCCUUAUUCCACCCUGAGUAAACAUAGUCAGGUACCCGAGGUCAUUAUGCACAUACUCAGACACAGCUGUAACUC